rnacentral:rRNA from 1 species
UACAGAGGUCUCAAGCGUUGUUCGGAUUCAUUGGGCGUAAAGGGUGCGUAGGUGGCAUGGUCAGUCGGAUGUGAAAUCCCGGGGCUCAACCCCGGAACUGCAUUCGAUACUGCCGCGCUAGAGUACUGGAGAGGAGAUUGGAAUUUACGGUGUAGCAGUGAAAUGCGUAGAUAUCGUAAGGAAGACCAGUGGCGAAGGCGGGUCUCUGGGCAACAACUGACGCUGAGGAGCGAAAGCGUGGGGAGCGAACAGG